GACGAACGCUGGCGGCGUGCCUAAUACAUGCAAGUCGAGCGAAGUUUUUCCGGUGCUUGCACCGGAAAAACUUAGCGGCGAACGGGUGAGUAACACGUAAAGAACCUGCCUCAUAGACUGGGACAACUAUUGGAAACGAUAGCUAAUACCGGAUAAUAGCAUUAACUGCAUGGUUGAUGUUUAAAAGUUGGUUUUGCUAACACUAUGAGAUGGCUUUGCGGUGCAUUAGCUAGUUGGUGGGGUAAAGGCCUACCAAGGCGACGAUGCAUAGCCGACCUGAGAGGGUGAUCGGCCACACUGGGACUGAGACACGGCCCAGACUCCUACGGGAGGCAGCAGUAGGGAAUCUUCCGCAAUGGGCGAAAGCCUGACGGAGCAACGCCGCGUGAGUGAAGAAGGAUUUCGGUUCGUAAAGCUCUGUUGUUAGGGAAGAAUGAUUGUGUAGUAACGAUACACAGUAGAGACGGUACCUAACCAGAAAGCCACGGCUAACUACGUG
rnacentral:rRNA from 1 species